rnacentral:piRNA from 1 species
UAAAAAAGAAAAGUGAACUUGAAUCUGUUC